rnacentral:rRNA from 1 species
GGUGAAUCGUAAGGUUUGCUGGAGGUAUCAGAAGUGCGAAUGCUGACAUGAGUAACGACAAAGGGGGUGAAAAACCUCCUCGCCGGAAGACCAAGGGUUCCUGUCCAACGUUAAUCGGGGCAGGGUGAGUCGACCCCUAAGGUGAGGCCGAAAGGCGUAAUCGAUGGGAAACGGGUUAAUAUUCCCGUACUUCUGACUAUUGCGAUGGGGGGACGGAGAAGGCUAGGUGGGCCAGGCGACGGUUGUCCUGGUUCAAGUGCGUAGGCUUGAGAGUUAGGUAAAUCCGGCUCUCUUUAAGGCUGAGACACGACGUCGAGCUGCUACGGCAGUGAAGUCAUUGAUGCCAUGCUUCCAGGAAAAGCCUCUAAGCUUCAGAUAGUCAGGAAUCGUACCCCAAACCGACACAGGUGGUCGGGUAGAGAAUACCAAGGCGCUUGAGAGAACUCGGGUGAAGGAACUAGGCAAAAUGGUACCGUAACUUCGGGAGAAGGUACGCUCUUGAUGGUGAAGUCCCUCGCGGAUGGAGCUGACGAGAGUCGCAGAUACCAGGUGGCUGCAACUGUUUAUUAAAAACACAGCACUGUGCAAAAUCGCAAGAUGACGUAUACGGUGUGACGCCUGCCCGGUGCCGGAAGGUUAAUUGAUGGGGUUAGCGCAAGCGAAGCUCUUGAUCGAAGCCCCGGUAAACGGCGGCCGUAACUAUAACGGUCCUAAGGUAGCGAAAUUCCUUGUCGGGUAAGUUCCGACCUGCACGAAUGGCGUAAUGAUGGCCACGCUGUCUCCACCCGAGACUCAGUGAAAUUGAAAUCGCUGUGAAGAUGCAGUGUACCCGCGGCUAGACGGAAAGACCCCGUGAACCUUUACUACAGCUUGGCACUGAACAUUGAACCUACAUGUGUAGGAUAGGUGGGAGGCUAUGAAGACGUGACGCCAGUUGCGUUGGAGCCGUCCUUGAAAUACCACCCUUGUAUGUUUGAUGUUCUAACUUAGACCCAUUAUCUGGGUUGAGGACAGUGCCUGGUGGGUAGUUUGACUGGGGCGGUCUCCUCCCAAAGAGUAACGGAGGAGCACGAAGGUGGGCUAAUCACGGUUGGACAUCGUGAGGUUAGUGCAAUGGCAUAAGCCCGCUUAACUGCGAGAAUGACGGUUCGAGCAGGUGCGAAAGCAGGUCAUAGUGAUCCGGUGGUUCUGUAUGGAAGGGCCAUCGCUCAACGGAUAAAAGGUACUCCGGGGAUAACAGGCUGAUACCGCCCAAGAGUUCAUAUCGACGGCGGUGUUUGGCACCUCGAUGUCGGCUCAUCACAUCCUGGGGCUGAAGUCGGUCCCAAGGGUAUGGCUGUUCGCCAUUUAAAGUGGUACGCGAGCUGGGUUUAGAACGUCGUGAGACAGUUCGGUCCCUAUCUGCCGUGGGCGUUGGAAGAUUGAAGGGGGCUGCUCCUAGUACGAGAGGACCGGAGUGGACGAACCUCUGGUGUUCGGGUUGUGUCGCCAGACGCAUUGCCCGGUAGCUAAGUUCGGAAUUGAUAAGCGCUGAAAGCAUCUAAGCGCGAAGCGAGCCCUGAGAUGAGUCUUCCCUGAUACUUUAAGUAUCCUAAAGGGUUGUUCGAGACUAGAACGUUGAUAGGCAGGGUGUGUAAGCGUUGUGAGGCGUUGAGCUAACCUGUACUAAUUGCCCGUGAGGCUUAACCAUACAACACCCAAGGGGUUUUGUA